rnacentral:rRNA from 1 species
AGUCCAGCGAACUUGGCAGAGAUGCCUUGGUGCCUUCGGGAACGCUGAGACAGGUGCUGCAUGGCUGUCGUCAGCUCGUGUUGUGAAAUGUUGGGUUAAGUCCCGNAACGAGCGCAACCCUUAUCCUUUGUUGCCAGCGAUUCGGUCGGGAACUCAAAGGAGACUGCCGGUGAUAAACCGGAGGAAGGUGGGGAUGACGUCAAGUCAUCAUGGCCCUUACGAGUAGGGCUACACACGUGCUACAAUGGCGCAUACAAAGAGAAGCGACCUCGCGAGAGCAAGCGGACCUCAUAAAGUGCGUCGUAGUCCGGAUCGGAGUCUGCAACUCGACUCCGUGAAGUCGGAAUCGCUAGUAAUCGUGGAUCAGAAUGCCACGGUGAAUACGUUCCCGGGCCUUGUACGCACCGCCCGUCACACCAUGGGAGUGGGUUGCAAAAGAAGUAGGUAGCUUAACCUUCGGGAGGGCGCUUACCACUUUGUGAUUCAUGACUGGGGUGAAGUCGUAACAAGGUAGGCGUAGCGAG